rnacentral:rRNA from 1 species
UACGGGGGGGGUAAGCGUUGUUCGGAAUUACUGGGCGUAAAGGGCUCGUAGGCCGCCAACUAAGUCAGACGUGAAAUCCCUCAGCUUAACUGGGGAACUGCGUCUGAUACUGGAUGGCUUGGAUUCGGGAGAGGAAUGCGGAAUUCCAGGUGUAGCGGUGAAAUGCGUAGAUAUCUGGAGGAACACCGGUGGCGAAGGCGGCAUUCUGGACCGAUAUUGACGCUGAGGAGCGAAAGCCAGGGGAGCAAACGGG